UAACGCGUGGGCAACCUGCCUUACACAGGGGGAUAACAGUUAGAAAUGACUGCUAAUACCGCAUAAGACCACAUUGCCGCAUGGCAGGGUGGUAAAAACUCCGGUGGUGUAAGAUGGGCCCGCGUCUGAUUAGGUAGUUGGCAGGGUAGAGGCCUACCAAGCCUACGAUCAGUAGCCGGCCUGAGAGGGUGGACGGCCACAUUGGGACUGAGACACGGCCCAAACUCCUACGGGAGGCAGCAGUGGGGAAUAUUGCACAAUGGGGGAAACCCUGAUGCAGCGACGCCGCGUGAGUGAGGAAGUAUUUCGGUAUGUAAAGCUCUAUCAGCAGGGAAGAAAAUGACGGUACCUGACUAAGAAGCCCCGGCUAACUACGUGCCAGCAGCCGCGGUAAUACGUAGGGGGCAAGCGUUAUCCGGAUUUACUGGGUGUAAAGGGAGCGUAGACGGAGGAGCAAGUCUGAUGUGAAAAUCCGGGGCCCAACCCCGGAACUGCAUUGGAAACUGUUUAUCUAGAGUGUCGGAGAGGCAAGUGGAAUUCCUAGUGUAGCGGUGAAGUGCGUAGAUAUUAGGAGGAACACCAGUGGCGAAGGCGGCUUGCUGGACGAUGACUGACGUUGAGGCUCGAAAGCGUGGGGAGCAAACAGGAUUAGAUACCCUGGUAGUCCACGCCGUAAACGAUGACUACUAGGUGU
rnacentral:rRNA from 1 species